rnacentral:rRNA from 1 species
AGUGAACGCUGGCGGCAGGCCUAAUACAUGCAAGUCGAACGGCAGCACAGCAGAGCUUGCUCUGUGGGUGGCGAGUGGCGGACGGGUGAGGAAUACAUGGGAAUCUGCCCAGUCGUGGGGGAUAACGUAGGGAAACUUACGCUAAUACCGCAUGCGCCCUUCGGGGGAAAGCCGGGGACCUUCGGGCCUGGCGCGAUUGGAUGAGCCCAUGUCGGAUUAGCUAGUUGGCGGGGUAAUGGCCCACCAAGGCGACGAUCCGUAGCUGGUCUGAGAGGAUGAUCAGCCACACUGGAACUGAGACACGGUCCAGACUCCUACGGGAGGCAGCGGUAGGGAAUAUUGGACAAUGGGCGCAAGCCUGAUCCAGCCAUGCCGCGUGAGUGAAGAAGGCCCUCCGGGUUG